GGGGAACAGCAGCGAAGUAUUAUAAUUGUCAUAUAGUAUAUUGCAUAGUCAUACAGUACAAAACAGUUAGCCGAGACAGGGUGGGUAUGGGUGUUCAAUAUAUGCUAGCAUUCUCUAAGGUCCGGGGGUCGACUCGACCUAUAUUCUAAACCCACAGCUCUAUGGUUCGCUCCUUUUAGGGUCAGCCCAGGCGACCCGAUCUCCAUGUGUCCCAGAUCUCCCACGCCUUUGCGGAUGUAUGGGAAGGGGGCCACAAUUUGGUGUAUGCUCCUUCAUAUGCUCUUUGCUCUAUCAGAG